GGGGGCAUGGCUCAGUGGCAGAGCACUUGCCUAGCAUUCAAGAGGCCCUGGGUUCAAUGCCCAGCCCACUCA
rfam:Mus musculus chromosome 4, GRC primary reference assembly.